CCAGCAUCGUGAUCUACGGCUUCACAGCGCAUGCGCAUUUGCGCUUCUACGAAAAAUCGGGUGUUCCGGGGGAAAGAUCCUUUGCACAACAUGAGAAGCGAAUGUUCUAAAAUUACAAAAAUUUACAAUAACGACAACGAUUCCUCGAAAUUUUUGUGAACUUGGCAAAAGGAAAAAAGAAUAUUUAAAGAAAGUAAAUAAAAUUGCUUAAAUAACCUUCAAAGCAC